AGGCUAAAGAAAAGCAAGAAUAGAAGUUCUCAUUUAGAAUCUAGAAUCUAGGGAACUCUCAUUUCCUUCCUAGCUGAACAAAGAACUCAAAAAAGAAUGGCUCUACAGAGAAUUCCUGACAGCAUUCUAAUGGAGAUCCUGUUGAAGCUGGAACUUGAAACCCUCUGCUCCGUCGCUUGCGUCAGUAAAACACUACAAUCCGCCGUCGUUGAAGCCAUUUCUCUCCUCUCCACUCUCCAUCUUCCUAUCGCUUUCUCUCCAGAUUCUCAAACUCUGAAGAUUGGCAUUCUUGGUCGGUGCCGAGGCAUGAGAAGUCUUACUGUUAAUUGCCUUCGUCUUGAUGAUUCUUCCCUCGUGGAUUUUCUUGGUCCUCAUUUACUCGAGCUGAAUUUGCUUUGCUGCUCUUUACUCUCUUAUAAAUUCCUUGCUUCUGUAGGAAAACUUUGUCCCAAUUUGAGGGUGCUUAUGCUUGAAUUGGUAGCUCAAGAUUCUCCUGAAGUAUUCAAUAGAAACUUGGCUGAACUGCUCACAAGAUGCUUGUUCUUAGAUUCAAUAUCCCUGAAGAUUCGAGGAGCAGGAGAUGUUGAGGCUAAUUAUUUUAGUACUAUUGAAACGUUUCUUCCCAAAACCGUCAAAACACUGAAGUUGAAGUCAUUGCUUCAUCAAGAAGCAAUUUGCAUCAUAAACAAACUAAGAGAUUAUGGGAACUCUUUAAUCACUACCUAUUCCAGAAGCUUUGAAUCUCCUCAGUUAUCUUCAGGGUUAAUGUUGCAGUGCUUGUCACUUACCUUGGAUGUUAUUUCUAAUGAGUUGAUUAUAACCAUUGUCGACUCUCUUCCUUUUUUGGUAGAGCUUCACUUGGAAGACAUGCCGAACCAAGAACAACUGUUGCACCAUGACUUGACCAAUAGGGGACUUCAGUCAUUGAGCACUUGUCAUAAUCUGAUAUCACUUUCUCUUAUUCGUGGUAGGCAUAACCACCAAGUUUCUUUCAAAAAGCUGAAUGAUAUGGGCAUGUUUCUCUUGUCUGAGGGUUGCAAAGGUCUUGAGUCUGUGAGAUUCUGUGGAUUCUCUAAAGUCAGUGAUGCUGGAUUUGCAUCGAUCUUUCACUCAUGCAAUAGGUUGAAAAAGUUUGAGAUUCGUAAUUCAUCACAUUUCUCAGAUCUUGCACUCGACGGUUUUGAUGCCAUCGGAUGCUCCGUAACAGAGUUGAGAUUAUUAUCAUGCAGUCUUAUAACUUCUGAAUCUGUGAAGCAGUUGGCCUAUUCUACAAGCUUGGAAGUCCUUGAUCUAUGUGGCUGCAAGAGCAUAUCAGAUUCUAGCCUUGAAUCCAUUUCCACUUUGUGCAAUUUAUCAUCACUAAAUCUAACAUCAACUGAUGUAACCAACUAUGGUUUAUCUGUUCUUGGUGAGGGAAGUCUACCCAUCGUACGAUUGUCUCUUCGAAGUUGUAAGAGAGUAACCGAAGAAGGAAUCUAUCGAUUGUUUUAUGGUGGUGGAACAGUGAGCAAGACCUUGUCUGCCUUGGAUCUUGGACACAUUUCGGGAAUAACCGAUCGAGCAAUCCAAAUAAUCGCUUCUGCUGGUGUUGGGAUUACUGAGUUAUGCAUCAGAUCUUGCUUCCAUGUGACUGAUUCUUCAGUGGAAGCUUUGGCGAUGAAGAAACAAUUCCAAGGUGAAGAUCCAAGUUAAAAACGAGAGAGAUAAAGGGAAAGAGAGGAAACUGAGAUCCAAAAACAACUUCAAACAUAAGAUGAUUUGGAUUCAAUUGCAACUAUAGAUUUGGAAACACCUGAAACACAAGAGUUGCCUGAGAUGAAGUUGAAGAAGACGCUGAAACUGAAACAGAAAAGGAAAAUGAUGAAGUCGAAGAAGAUGUUGAAAUUGAUAAAGAAGAAGAAGAAGAAGCUGAAGUAGAAGAAUUUGAAGUUCAAGAAGAAGAAGUUGAACAAGAAGAGAAUAAAAAAGAGAAAAUAGAAAUGAGAAAAAGGUAAAUAUCAUUGUCUAUAUACAUGAUGAUAGACAAUGAUAGUAGUCUAUCAUUGUCUAUCAUUCAAUGUUCUUCUUAUGAACUCCAAUAUUUUCUUGCAACAAAUCAAUGAAGAAGAGCAAAAUGAGAAAGAGAAAGAAGAUGAAGGGCAAGUAGAAGAAGAGCAAGAGAAACUAGAUGAAGAGCAUGUAGAUGAAGACCAAGAGAAAGUAGAUACAGAUCAAGUAGAAGAUGAGAAAAAUGAGGAGGAACAAAUUCAAGAAGAGCACAAUGAAGAGGAAGAUACUGAUGAAGAAGAGAAUGAGAUUCUUUUUCAGAAGAAAAGACCAAAGAGAAACUAGAGGGGGAAGCAAGUUGUUGAUGAGGAAGACAAAAUAGAAGAAGAAACUGAUAGUGAAGAGGAUCCAUAUGAAGAUAUUCAAACAAAAGGGAAAAAUAGAUAACAGAAGGGAAAGCAGCAAAAGCAAGGGAAGCGUAAAAGGUUUAGACCAAAGGUGCUAGAAGACACACACUUUCAGAAGGAAAUACCAAAGAGACAACGAAAACCAACCAAAAAAUCAUUAUAAAAUAUAAAUAAGAAAAAUUUCCCUCUAAAGAAGAAACCUGAGAAGAAGAACGAAGUACAACCUCAAACUUCAACUCAAGAAUGUGUGAAAUUGAUGAUGGACACUACUCCAAGCAUCAGCUUGAACAUUUCUCAAACUCAAUCUCAACCUUAGUCUCAAUCUUGAUUGUAGAAUUACUUUAUAUUGUAAAGCUUCAAGUUGAACAUUUCUUUCUAUAUGAUUUUCUACUUUAUACAAUUUAUAAGUUUCUUUC